rnacentral:rRNA from 1 species
UACGUAGGAGACGAGCGUUGUCCGGAGUUACUGGGCGUAAAGGGUGCGCAGGUGGCGGCGCGCGUGGGGGUGGAAAUCGCCCGGCUUAACUGGGCGGGGCCUUCCAGACGGCGUGGCUUGAGCAGCGGAGGGGGACGUGGAAUUCCGGGUGGAGCGGUGAAAUGCGUAGAGAUCCGGAGGAACACCGACGGCGCAGGCAGCGUCCCUGGCCGCUUGCUGACACUGAGGCACGAAAGGCUGGGGGAGCAAAGCAGG